AAAAGAGAGGAGGUUGUUUGAGUGCUUCUUUUUGAUUUACAGAAAAGGCUUCUAGUCUUCUUAAUUUACCAAAAGGCAAAACGCAUCUGUGGGUUUACCUCACCAACCCUAAACCUCUGCUGCCACCGGAGCUAGGGUUUUACUGCACUUUCUGGCGACUAAUCAGAUUGCAUCAUCCUACAUGGACGACUUCGAAACGGAUGCACUGUACUUCUCUGGGGAAGGUUCAAACGGUGACUUCUGCGAUACAAUCCUAUCUCGCUUCUCCGGUUCCCCCAAGGAAAGCCACUUGCACCUCUGCGCCGUAAUCGGUGCCAUGUCAGGAGCUCAAGGACCAAAAUCUCCCCUCCUCACCUGUCGCUUACUUGGCGCUGCAUGCUCCUCCUUGGACCGCAUAUCAGUGGAACCCAACCCUCCCAGCCACGUCACCGGUGCCCUUCUCACGGUUAUAUCCUCCUCAUUCCGAGAGUGCCCGCUGCGGUGCUGAAGAAGAGGGAGUUCUUGUUGGAGCUGGUGGAGCGAGUUCUUCGGUCGUUGGUGUUAUCAGAGAGUGUCAUGGUUUCAGGAUUGAAGUUCCUUUCGCAUUUGUUGAUUAGAAGGGACAGUGUGUCGUUGGAAUUCCUUACCGAUUCACGACCUAAGGUUAGAAGGCAAGCUUAUUUGUGGCUUCGUGACGUCUUGCUAAACUUCCAAAAAGGCAAAAAUCUUCUCUCUUGGCCUCCGCACGUGAGGGAGUCACAAAACUUCUGCUGACUGGUGGAGAAGAUGCUAAUGCCAGUGAAGGAACUGCAAGAGCCCAGCAGGUUCUGUACAUUCUUGAUGCUUUGAAAGAAAGUGAAGGAACUACGAGAGCCCAGCAGGUUCUGUAUAUUCUUGAUGCUUUGAAAGAAAGCCUUCCCUUUGUGUCACUGAAAUACAAGACCAGCGUUCUCAAGUGCUACAAAACUCUCUUGGAUUUGCAGCAACCUUUAUCACAAGGCGCAUAACAGAUGGCUUGAGUUCCUUUUGUCUUUACCCAACAUCAGAAGUUUUGCCCGACCCAUUUCUCGAGUUGUUAUGCUCGCUUGCUCAUUCUAUCUCAUAAAUCAGACAUCUGGGGAUGGAAUGGCAUUAAUUGCUCCCUUGAUGGCUACUGAAAUGAAUAAAGUUUAUUUGCUCAACAGGCAAAUAUGUGUGGUUAAGCUCCCUCUUGUUUUUUAUGCUCUCAGAGAUAUUUUGGGAUCUAAACAUGAAGAGGCAAUAUAUGCAGCCACUGAUGCCUUUAAGAGCAUGAUUAAUUCUUGUAUUGAUGCAAGCUUGAUUAAGCAGGGAGUGGAUCAGAUCUCUUGCAGUGAUGACAGAGAACCUAGGAAUUCAGGACCAACCAUUUUUGAAAAAAUCUGUGCAACUAUUGAGAGCUUACUUGAUUAUCACUAUACUGCUGUCUGGGACAGAGUAAUACAAGUUGUUUCAGCUAUGUUAACAAAUUAGGAAGAAGUUCUCAUUAUUUUAUGAGAGGAAUACUCAAAAACUUGGUAGAUGUGCAAAAGCUGCAUGAAGAAGAUUUUCUCUUUAAGAAGCAGCUGCAUGAAUGCUUUGGAUCAGCUCUUGUUGCAAUGGGACCUGAACGACUGUUGUCCCUUAUACCUCUGAAUUUGGAAGCUGAAGACUUGUUGGAUGCAAAUAUCUGGCUGUUUCCUUUUCUGAAACAGUAUAUUGGUGCACGAUUAAAUUAUUUUAAAGAAGAAAUUUUGCCCAUGAUUGAACGUACAAGGGAGAUGGCGGCUCAAAGGCUUGAGGAUCUAGAGAUUUCAUCAAGGAAUGGAGAUCCUCUUGCAUACUCUUUGUGGUCUUUGCUGCCAUCAUUUUGCAACUAUCCUGUGGACACUGCUGAAUGUUUUGUGAAUCUACAAGGGCAUUUAUUCAGAGAUAAAAGAGGAACCUGGUGUUUGUGGAAUAAUAUGCAAUAGCUUGCAGCUACUGAUUCAGCAAAACAAGAAUGAUGUGAAAGCAAAUAGCACAGAUUUUAAUGGGCAAGAUAUGGACAAACAAGGUCAUGUCUGUUAUUCGCAACAGGUUGCCAAGGACAAUUGGAAUGUGCUGAAGUCAUCUGCGAGGCACUUGCUAGUUGCUCUGGCAGAUGUAUUCCUGAAGCCUUCAAAAGAUGACGGUGGUUGUUUGCAGCGUACUAUUGGUGAUAUUGCUUCCAUGGCAGACAAGACAGUUGUGUGGAAUUUACUCAUCCGCAGAAUGAGUGGGAUUGAACGACGCCUUGAAGAGGCCGGCAGAGUAGACAACUCUGAGAAUUCUGCAUUAGUUAUCAAGGCAACAGUAUGUUGAUUUUGUAGUUUCCCUGUUGCCUGGUUUAACAGCUGAAGGGAUUCAUGCAUUGUAUCAUGCAAUAAAGGCAGCAUUAAUGGACGCCGAAGGUCUCAUGCAGAAGAAGGCAUAUAAAGCACUUUCAAUCAUUCUCAAGGUAGUCUAUACACAUUUUAUUUGGUUUCCUGGUUAACCUAAAAAGUGUGGGUUGAUGUGAUUAAAGCAUAUUCAUAAAAGAGUUCAGAUAGUUUUGUUUCUUCAAAGUCGAAGGAACUGUUUGAGCUGAUGGUUGAAAUUCUUCAUUCAUGCCAUUUUUCUGCCAAGCGUCACAGACUUGAUUGCCUUUACUUCUUAAUAAUUCAUGCUUCAGUCAAAGGAUAGUUUGGAGGAAUUGUGGAGAAAAGAUGUUGAAGUUUUCCUUGUCGAAAUAAUCAUUGCUGUUAAAGAGGCUAAUAAAAAAACCAGAAACAGGGCUUGUGAAAUAAUUGUCCAAAUAGGCCAUGUACUUGGAGAUGAGGAAAGAGGUGGGAACAGAGAAAAAAUAAUCCACGAGUUUUUUGACAAGAAUUUGUAAGAUUUGGUUAUAGGAUCGUCUUGACAAAUAGUAAUAUGCAAGGCUAGCACAACCCAAAUUUUGAUGCUCCAAUCAAACCGAACAACAGCUCUACCAUGGGAAAAAGGUUACAUUAUUCUGCUGAAAUUUAGGACACAUUAGACAUUUUCUUCUGUUCCUUAUUACCUAAGGGAUCUUGGGUGCUCAAUGGGUCGGGUGGUGCGGAGAGAAUGAGCGGGUGAGGCCUUGAGUGGAUUUGGAGCGGGAGUAGAGGUGUCAGCUGGAAGAUAGUGACGUCGGAGACAGCGUGGACGGGAGGAGGGGGUGGCCACCUACAAGGACACUCCGACGAUCAAGUCAGUGUCCAUACGAGGCAAUAGCCAUAUUAGAUAAGAUGUCACAUACUUUGGGGGGAGAGCUGACCUCUCCCCUUAUAUACUGUGUUGGGUGGGCUCAUAGGUGACCUAGCCCACUGGCCAGGAAGCUUCUAUGAGUUGUCCUAGUCCAUGUGGAGGUCAGGUCGUUCUAGCUUCCGGGUCAGGGGUCUCGGGUGCUGCCUCAAGGGUACCGACCCGACCGGUUGCUAGGCGUGGUGACUUGAGCUGCUGUGGCAAGUUGUGCGUGCUUUGGGUCGGGUGUGGUGGACCAACCCGUCAGGUUGCCUCUGUUGGGGCUGGUUCGGAGCUUGGGUCGGUGGUGGUGGUCUGACCCGUCGGGUAGGCGGGCUGGACUGUGGCAGUCCGUAACAGUGCCCCCAACGUGUCGGCCUCGAGGUUUGGAGCUCGGGGCUGGGCGUGUUUGAUUUACUCACUGCAUCAGGACGUGUCUUCUUUUCCCGGAGUUUGUUGAUAACGUCUGUGUUCACGCGUGGCUGGCUUGUUUUUCCCUUGGGACUGUCUCCUUAGCUUCUGUGCUGGGCAUUAAAUGGCCAUUAUUUCAUGAAUUGAAAGUUGCGUGAAAUGACGGUUGUGCCCCUGUCUUUCGGCGCUCCUCUCGACGGUUUAUGUCUUUGGGCCUGCCCUUUUUAUUUUAUAACUUCUUCUUUACUUUUCUUUUCUUCUUCUGUUUUCUCUUAUCACUGUUGCUUCCAUUCUUCUCCUUUUUUUUUUGCUGUUGCUUCAGUAUUCUUGCUGUUGUUUCAAUCUGCUGCUUCGAUCUUCGAAUUCCUGUUUUGAUUUUCUGUGGACUCUUCCUGCAUUUUUCUGGUAUGUCCGAGCGUCCUGUGGUUUUGAACAUGGCUCAGCGGCCGUUAGCUGAUCUGGUCGACCACUAUGCCUGGGUUACUUCCGAGGUGAAGGAUACCCUGUCCAGGGUUACCCGCGAGAGCCUCCAAGAGCUUUGUCAGGUUGGGCUCUUGUGCGGAGGGGGUCCCGAGGAGGCGCUCUAUCAGGUUUAUGUCCCUGCUGACCGAGAAUGUGUUCGCCAAAAAAACUUGGCAUCUCCGUG